UCGCCGAGCGAAGCCGCGGUAGCCGGACCACCAGCAGCCGCCGCGCCACCCGAGAUCCGGAAGCCGAAGCCUCGCGCGCAAAGGUCCGACCGAAGACCCGCCCCGCGACCCGAACCGACGCGCGCCACCCUCCGGAAACCCGACCCGCGCCCGCGUGCACCCGUGCGUGAGCCGCGCCCGCGUGUGAAGCCGCGCCCGCGUGUGAAGCCGCGCCGCGCGCUUUUGUGUAGCCGAGCCGCGUCUCCCUGUUGCAAGCCGAGCCGCGUCUCCCCCUGUUGCAAGCCGAGCCGCACGCGAAAUCCCUGUACCGAGCCGAGCCGCGUCUGCCCAAGCCGAGCCGGUCCUGUCUUCUUCCAGCCGAGCCGCCAGGACUAAAUUGGCUCCAUCCACCUAUAUUUUGGGACGUCUUGGACCAAGAAAUUACUGCAGCGCGGGAUUUCCUUCAGUAGGGGCUCGAGCACUGCAACCUCCUUCUAGGUUAGGACUUCGUCGCUUGGAAAGCGUACUGCCUCGCGGUUAGGACUCGACAAGUAGAUCUCCAGGUAGAGGACGAGGCAAAGGCAAGGGCAAGCUGGCGAGCGACCCGAAGUGAGACCGAGGAGGGCCAUAGGGACUACCGCUUCCGCUUAUUUCUUAUUUCAGAUUUUAGCAUUUGAGUUUGAGUACUUUUUAUUUUUCACUAUCUUUUAUGUAGAUAGGGCCCGAGUAGGACUUCAGAACGUUUUUACAUUUUUGCAUGACUACCUUGUUUAUGUUUUUAUAAAUGAAUUUCUUGAACCGUAUGCUUUUAAUAAA